AUCUUCUUCUCCUCACCUCCCCUUCCCUGUAGCGUGGCCGAGCUCCUCUCCGGUCCGUGACUGAGUGUGCAUUUUUAGUCAGUCCAGCCGGGUCGCGGACCGGAGAGGAGCUCGGCCACGCUACAGGGAAGGGGUGGUGGGGAGAAGAAGAU